rnacentral:lncRNA from 13 species
CGCAGAGCUCGGUGCUUCUAGCAAGUGUAAACAAAAGGAAAUUGACAUCUUGCAGUCUUGCAUAUCUUGGAAAGGCAAUCGGCGGAUCAAGGUUUUUACUUGUUGAGUAAAUCGCUAGCUAUAUUUUCAUACUAGUGUGUUAUUUGAGUAUUCAAUUUUUGUGUAUAUCCUCGCGCAUUUUAACUUGAGCUUCAGAUUGAGCAGAAGAAGUGAAAGUCAAAACAUGGUGGAGACACGCACAGUACCGUUAGAGUCCUUGGACAGCUCCGAUGAUGAACCCCUAAUUGCAUUAGUAAAGAAGAAGCCGCAGCACAUGGAACACAAUGGGACUCAGGGUGAAAAAGACCAGAACCGACAACCUGAACCUGAGUCAAAGAAUAGCACUAGAAAAGAUUCUGGGUUGGAUGACACCUCAGAUGAUGAGCCCUUGACGAAGUUGCUGAAUAAACUUUCCAGAGCUAAAAAAGCCACUGUACAAGCAAAGAGGCCAGGGACUACUGAUAUCAAAAGAGGAACAGGUAAUGGCAUCAAGAAGACAAACAACAAAUUCACAGGUUCAACCCAGAAUGAGGACUCCUAUGGUAGCUCAGACGAUGAGCCCUUGAUAAAGAUGGUUAGAAAGAUCCCUAAACAGACAUCAUUGCCAUUCAAAAAGAGACCCUUCAACACAGCCAGAGAGGUGAACGAUGUGAAGAAGCGCAGAAAUAGCUCACAGAACACUAAUAAAAUGAGCACAGAUUCAUCAUCAGGUGACAGCUCAGAUGAAGUGCCCCUGAUUAACAUGGUCGACAAACUCAAGACACAAAUGCGAACGAAGACACCCACCACUACAGCCAGAAAAACACCUGGCAUUAAAAAGCCCAGAAAAGUUUUUAAAAAACACAACAGGAGUAUAGAGACCUCAGAUGACAGCUCUGAUGAUGAGCCAUUAAUAUAUCUGACCAAGAAGUCUCCAUCUAAAGAGACUGAAAGGACAAUACUGAAGAGGUGUGUCACUAAGGAAUCAAACAGCAACAACUGUAAUAAAAUUGAAGGGAAAAUGAGCAGAGAGGAAGAGGUGAGUUCUGAUUCUGAUGAUAAGCCCUUGAUAAAUCUAGUCAAGAAGCCUCUUAAAGCUGUAAAGAAGACCACGACGCCGUUAAAGAAGAGGAGCGUAUCAGAAAAGACUGUGGUAGCCAGAAAGAAGACGAGACCAGACAUUAUGAACAAAGCAGUCAUCAGACGGAGCACCAAAGUUGUCCAAAGAACACGUGAAGGGUCUUUGGAUGACAGCUCAGACGAUGAGCCCUUGAGUAAAAAGAUGGUGAGAAAUCCACAAAUGAAGAGCCUAAUGGUGAUUCUGGAGAGAUGUGACACUGAAGAAGUCUUGGAAGAUAACUAUAGAGCCAACGUGGGAAACACCGGUAAAAGAAGUGCAGGGGAUAAGGAGAACUCCGAUGAUGAACUCUUGAUAAAGAUGGUCACGAAUCCCCCUCAUUCUUCACCAGAAACUAUGGCAGAGAAGGAAAAUAAGUCAGAAACUGCCCUUACGAUGAACCUUUGA